AUGAAGUGGUAUUUCAGAAAGAUACCAAGACGAAUAAAAAAAAUGUUAAACGUGCUUUUAGGGUGGGUGUGCAACCUACGAAAAGAGCCUACCGGUAUCUUCCCACCUGACAGUCGGAGGCGUGGCCUGCGUCAAAAUGAACAGUGUAAGUGAAAAGUGUACGUCCUCCGUGUCAGACAGAUGAAAGUGUAUGCGUGCACUUGUUUGUGGGUGUGAAACUCCCAUCACCCGAUGUUGGCCGCACUGCCGCCGGUCAUCAAGCGAAUUCCACAGUUAGCUCGCUAAUUGCUAGCCUGCUGGCUAGCUAGCAGGCUAACUGCUAGCUAGUCCAAGUAGCUUCAGUUGGCCUUGAUUUUGACAACGAAACAAGCACAGUCUGCUGCUGGAACUCUGCGCUCCCUCUGGAUAUGACGAAAGAGUUCCCGACUUGCACGCCGCACCUUCUUACCUUUUGAACGUUCCACUUUUUUCCUGGAGGGUGACGUCACAGACGGCCGGACGUAGACUCCUAGACCACCGUCGUCUCUGCAGCGGUCCAGAUGACAGAUGGGGCGGGGGUAUCGGGGACGGAGGAGGCUACGAGAGGCCCGCUGAUGAGCGAAGCUUCCCGAAUCAUACAAAAGCAGCUUACAAGUCACCUUGCAGUGACAAGUCACCUGUGGAGCAGCAACCAUGACUAAACGAUUCAUCAAUUAUCCAAUUCAUCAACAACUCUUUUGACCAUCCAUCCAUCUUCUUCGUCCAACCCGGUGGUUCCCAGGCCAGCUGAGAGACAAAGCCUCCCCAACACGUCCUGAGUCUUCCCCGAGGCCUCCUACCGGUCGGACGUGCCCUGGACACCAGAUGCCCGAGUCAGCUCAUCUUCAACGUAGCCCAGACACCCCACGGGGAAAAUUCAUUUCUCACUCAAACCACGAAGAAAAAUCUCAAGUGGCCGUGGUCAUGAGCUUUGGGUAGCGACCGAAAGGGCAAGAAUGACGGGUACAAGCGGACGAAAUGAGUUUUCUCUCUGUGUUUUAGGCAGAACAAGAUGUUCACACACACUUCCACAAA